rnacentral:lncRNA from 1 species
UAUCUGUCUAUCUAUCUUUCUGUCUAUACCUACCUACGCAUCUAUCUAUCAUCAAUUUUUCAUCUAUGUAUCUACCUAUCCACCUAUAUUCAGAAUAAACACAUCUGUAUUUAAUCUCUUAUGUUUUUCCCGUUUGAAAACGCAAAAGAAAUGCAAAUAAACAUGGCCAUGCCCGAAUGGAAUUACUUUUAUGUACGUUAUGUCCUCAAGUCCAACUCUUAGUGGGAGCGCAACACUAUUGAUAUGAAUAUGUUUUCUUAGAAACAAGAAAGAGCUAGUAUUUUAAAUUCUUGCUUAUUAAUAAUGUGUUACAAAUUCAAAAACUGUUUAUUGCGCAAAGAGUAUUAAACUUUAGGACAUAUAGUUUGAUUUCAUUUAUUAUCACAUGUGAUGUUGAUGAGCUUUUAUAUUUUUUUUAACAAAGACUUUAAUUUUUUAGAGCCAUUUUAGGUUAGCAACAGAACUGAGAGGAAAGUACAAAGAUUUCCCAUAUGUUCCCUGCCCAUGCAUUAAGGUUCCUCCAUGUCUUUUCAUGGUUUAACUCAUUUCUUUUUAGUGUUGAUGAGUUUCCUGAAUUUUCAAUUUUCAAAAUGGAAACAUAUAAAACUCUUUCUAAGUCAUUCUAUCUGUAAUGGAAAAUAUUUUAAAAACUACUAUGCCAUGAACAAGGAGAAUUUAUACAACAUAAAAAAUAGUAUGAAUUUAAAACAAAGGCACAACACUGUAAUGUCAGAAAGUGUCACAUGUAGAACUCAAUUUCCAACAUGUAAAAAACUAAAGAGCUAUCCCUACUACACUUAACAGGUAAUUUUCCAUACUUAAAUCCCUCUAUAGUAGCCACUGUAGAAAGUAGUAGAAUUUUUAAAGAUUUAUUUUAUACUCGACCUAACAUUAGGUAUACUGGAACUGAGGACAAAAAUGAACGCAAGCACAGGGAAGAUUUUGAAUCUCAGAAGGAUAUAUACAUAUGCUUUUAUGGGAAAAUGGGAAAAUGGGAAAAAUCAAGUUAAUGUAAUCCAUAUAGAUUUUAGAAUUAUUAGCCAUCAUUUAGAAAAUAAGAAUAAAUAGUAAAUGCCAAAAAUGGAUUUGGUAGUUCAUAGGAAAUCUUAUUCUUUGGCUAUUUCACAAAAUCCACUGUGGAACUGUAAUAUAUGUCACUUUGCAGAAUAACGCCAUGUUCCAAUUUCUGAACAAACAUACUGGAUAGUGCAGAGAUAAGAUAAAUAUAAAUGGCUUGCUUUUUAACAAUUAAUAAACCUUCAAAAUCCAAAAUUUCCAUAUG